rnacentral:rRNA from 1 species
GUUUGAUCCUGGCUCAGGAUGAACGCUAGCGGCAGGCCUAAUACAUGCAAGUCGAACGGGUGUAGCAAUACACUAGUGGCGCACGGGUGCGUAACGCGUAACCAACCUGCCCUUGACUGGGGGAUAGCCCGCCGAAAGGCGGAUUAAUACCGCAUACCUCACUUUUCUGGCAUCAGGGGAGUGGGAAAGAUUUAUUGGUCAAGGAUGGGGUUGCGUAGCAUUAGCUAGAUGGCGGGGUAACGGCCCACCAUGGCGACGAUGCUUAGGGGACCUGAGAGGGUGAUCCCCCACACGGGCACUGAGAUACGGGCCCGACUCCUACGGGAGGCAGCAGUAGGGAAUAUUGGGCAAUGGGCGAGAGCCUGACCCAGCCAUGCCGCGUGCCGGAUGAAGGCCUUCUGGGUUGUAAACGGCUUUUCUCAGGGAAGAAAAAGGGUAUGCGUACCACACUGACGGUACCUGAGGAAUAAGCACCGGCUAACUCCGUGCCAGCAGCCGCGGUAAUACG